UACAGAGGUCCCAAGCGUUGUUCGGAUUCACUGGGCGUAAAGGGUGCGCAGGUGGCUGUGUAAGUUUGAUGUGAAAUCUCCGGGCUCAACCCGGAAAUGGCAUUGAAUACUACAUGGCUGGAGGUUUGGAGGGGGGACUGGAAUUCUCGGUGUAGCGGUGAAAUGCGUAGAUAUCGAGAGGAACACCUGCGGCGAAGGCGGGUUGCUGGGCUGACACGUGACGCUGAAGUGCGAAAGCUAGGGGAGCGAACGGG
rnacentral:rRNA from 1 species